UUUGUUUUCCACUUCAUCUCGUCAGUAGUGAGGGAACCAGCAUUGUGUAUUCAUAUUGAAUGUGUUACCCAGUUAUGUUUACGUGUGCCUUUUGGAUACUUCCACCUGUAAGACUGACGACCUGUUCACCAAACCAGGUCUGUGGUUGUGGCUGUGGCAGCAGUAACCUCCAAAUCACCUGCCGACAACACCCAGUCAUCAUUUCUCGGAUAAACAACACCCCUCCUGUGUAUUAUCAGAUUAUAAUUUUUCUCUCACGGAAGCAGCACUUAAAUGAAGGUAAUCCCCAUCCAGCGGCACUCGAUGAAAAGUUGCGGAUUUACCAAGCAAUGAACAUGGACUCUAUAUAGAGAUGGACCACACGCCUCCACUUCCUCCCACUAUCCAGAAAUGAGGCCAAGAUAUCCCAGAUAAGAACGCGGCCAUCUUUUGCUGGUGACAUAACUUGGAGGAAGAGCCUGUGCAUGUAGCCGCAGUAUCGAGGUCCAAUUUACGGACAUGCUCGACCAAAUGCGAGUCAGCUGUCAAUCAUGAGCUCCUCCAGCUUCACAUCCACACCUGCCCCGAGCUCUUUCAUCUCCUGCUGCAGUCUGAUCCUGUGUCGAUCCCCAGAGCUCACAUCGGCGCUCAGCUUGGCGAUGCUGGCAUCACA